AACCCCCGGUCGUUGAAAAUGCUGUUGAUCUGGAGGACAACGUUUCCUACGCCACCAUUAGUCAUGGAAAGAACACAAAAAGAAACGCUCAGGCUGGUGGUGAUCAUGAUGCAGUGACCUACAGCACUGUGAGAGCCUGUUCCUCUUCUGCUGCAGCCUCUGAUGAUCCCAACAGCGUCUACAGUGUUAUAACCUCCACAACCAACUGAAGCAGCAAACCAGGCCCUACUCCCACUGGUGAUAACAGGAUAAAUAUGAAAAAAUAUAAAUAUACAUAUAUCUUUUAUCAGAGAAUCAGCUAAAAGUUUCUGUGUCAAGUGAAAGAGAAGAAACAGGGUAAUAUUGAGGCCUUUUGUCCCGAUGCAUCUCAAUAACCCAGAUAGAAAAAAAAGAAAUUGGUUAGGUCCUCUGGACAGGUUCCUAUUUGUUGAAACGUUUCCUUCCUUCUCUGAGAAACUUUUGUGUUUGUUUCUCAUUUAAACUCAUAUCCUAAACGUACAUUCUGGGGAUCACAGUAAUCCUCAUUAACUGUCUUUAAAAUUGAACUUUUCAUGUUUUGUAUACUCCUCUGUGGAGGGUUGUGCAACAAAAUAAAGCUAAAGUAGAACCAUUAUUAAUAAUUUGGUUAAAUGUAGCUAAAGAUCGUCAGUUUUAAUUGCACUGCUCAUCAAAAGGACUUGUAGAAAAACAUCCAGAUAGAUUAUUAUUUUUUAAGCUUUUAUAUGAAAACAGGUCAGAGGAUGUUUUCUUUUACUAACCUGAAAUAAUCAUAAUAAUCUUUUACUAUUUCUAUAUAUUUUUUCCCAAUAAAGUAUCUUUUAUGAUGUAGUUUAGGGGUUAAAGGCACCAAAUGUAUUUAUUUGAAGGUCCUGCUCCAUAGUCUUCCAGGAUUUUUUUCUUCCUUAGGACUUUAGCAAAUUAGUUCUUCAUAAAGGUCGAACAACAAUCGCUCAGGAUAACCAUAACCCUCUUCUUACCUUCAGCUCAGACUGGAUUUUGCAUGUGUUUUUGGUUUUGUCCUUUAACCUAUUAUUGCAGAGUCAACUAUCAUAGUUAGACUGGACUAAUUGCCAGAUAAUGAAAGUUUAAAUUGUCUUGGAAAAAGAGACAAACGCAUUCACUCAAUAUUCAGUUUUUUUUCUUUUUUCUACAGUCAUAAAAUCUAAAUAAACCCAGAUUUCCAUAAAUAAACCCACUUUUACUGGUAAUGUGAGGGUUAAAAAAUGGGGAAGCUGAAAAAAAAAUUGUUCAAUAGAAACUUUUGUUCAGUAAUUCAUGUUUUGGGUUCACAUGUAUUUUCUUUCAUGUAUAAUAUAUCAUUUGAGCAUAAAUGUGAAUAUUUUUUAACUGGAGGCUUUUGUAUAUAAAAGUUUACUGCUGUCAGCUAUGCUUUUGAAUUUUAAUAUUAACUUUAGUCUCAACUGAUAGAAGGAAAACUAUUCUGUCUUUUUGUUUCAGCUCUGUUUGAUUUUAUUGUUUUUUAUUUUAUUAAAAGGAGUCUAAGUUAAGUUAGAAAGAACUCAGUGUUGAACUACUUUGGAGACCAUAAGUUUAAUUUCUUCUGCCACAGAAUGAUGAGAUUAACAUAAAAAAAAUCACUGAAACAAUGUAACAAACACGGUUGAAGACCUGUGCUCAUUUUAAAGACU